rnacentral:rRNA from 1 species
AUUGAACGCUGGCGGCAUGCCUUACACAUGCAAGUCGAACGGCAGCACGGGGGCAACCCUGGUGGCGAGUGGCGAACGGGUGAGUAAUACAUCGGAACGUGCCCCGUAGCGGGGGACAACCAGUCGAAAGACUGGCUAAUACCGCAUACGCUCCACGGAGGAAAGCAGGGGAUCGCAAGACCUUGCACUAUGGGAGCGGCCGAUGCCCGAUUAGCUAGUUGGUGAGGUAAAGGCUCACCAAGGCAACGAUCGGUAGCUGGUCUGAGAGGACGACCAGCCACACUGGGACUGAGACACGGCCCAGACUCCUACGGGAGGCAGCAGUGGGGAAUAUUGGACAAUGGGCGCAAGCCUGAUCCAGCCAUGCCGCGUGAGUGAUGAAGGCCUUAGGGUUGUAAAGCUCCUUCGGCGGGGACGAUAAUGACGGUACCCGCAGAAGAAG